rnacentral:rRNA from 1 species
UACGAAGGGGGCUAGCGUUGUUCGGAUUAACUGGGCGUAAAGGGUGCGUAGGCGGGGUUUUAAGUCAGGGGUGAAAUGCCGAGGCUCAACUUCGGAACUGCCUUUGAUACUGGAACUCUUGAGUCUGGGAGAGGUGAGUGGAACUGCGAGUGUAGAGGUGAAAUUCGUAGAUAUUCGCAAGAACACCAGUGGCGAAGGCGGCUCACUGGCCCGGUACUGACGCUGAGGUGCGAAAGCGUGGGGAGCAAACAGG